rnacentral:rRNA from 1 species
UACGUAGGGUGCAAGCGUUAAUCGGAAUUACUGGGCGUAAAGCGUGCGCAGGCGGUUUUGUAAGCCAGAUGUGAAAUCCCCGGGCUUAACCUGGGAAAUCGGCAUUUGGGACUGCAAGGCUGGAGUGUGGCAGAGGAGACUGGAAUUCCGUGGUGUAGCAGUGAAAUGGCGUAGAUAUCAGGAGGAAUACCGAUGGCGAAGGCAGGUCUCUGGGCUGACACUGACGCUCAUGCACGAAAGCGUGGGGAGCAAACAGGAUAGAGUACCCCAG